rnacentral:rRNA from 1 species
UACGGAGGAUGCGAGCGUUAUCCGGAUUUAUUGGGUUUAAAGGGUGCGUAGGCGGUCCGUUAAGUCAGCGGUAAAAUUGCGGGGCUCAACCCCGUCGAGCCGUUGGAACUGUCAGACUUGAGUUGGCGAGAAGUACGCGGAAUGCGCGGUGUAGCGGUGAAAUGCAUAGAUAUCGCGCAGAACUCCGAUUGCGAAGGCAGCGUACCGGCGCCACACUGACGCUGAGGCACGAAAGCGUGGGGAUCGAACAGG